GGCCGAUUGGUCAAGUGGUAAGAUCCUUGCUUUGGAUUUGAUGAAAUGUCUGCAAGAGUCCCGCGUUCGAACCGCGGAUCGGCCC